rnacentral:rRNA from 1 species
AUUGAACGCUGGCGGCAGGCCUAACACAUGCAAGUCGAACGGUAACAGGAAGAAGCUUGCUUCUUUGCUGACGAGUGGCGGACGGGUGAGUAAUGUCUGGGAAACUGCCUGAUGGAGGGGGAUAACUACUGGAAACGGUAGCUAAUACCGCAUAACGUCGCAAGACCAAAGAGGGGGACCUUCGGGCCUCUUGCCAUCGGAUGUGACCAGAUGGGAUUAGCUAGUAGGUGAGGUAACGGCUCACCUAGGCGACGAUCCCUAGCUGGUCUGAGAGGAUGACCAGCCACACUGGAACUGAGACACGGUCCAGACUCCUACGGUAGGCAGCAGUGGGGAAUAUUGCACAAUGGGCGCAAGCCUGAUGCAGCCAUGCCGCGUGUAUGAAGAAGGCCUUCGGGUUGUAAAGUACUUUCAGCGGGGAGGAAGGGAGUAAAGUUAAUACCUUUACUCAUUGACGUUACCCGCAGAAGAAGCACCGGCUAACUCCGUG